UAGAUUUUCAGGCAUCGUAGUCAUCCAAUUCCCCUCUGUUUGUCGCAAAAACAUUCCAUGUUCAGCAGCCAACCACAUCCUAUAUUCUCCGAAAUUCUGUAGAAGAAGUCAGUCAAAGAACAUAAACGCUGAUAGAAAGACAUUAACUUAAGAAAGUAGGACACCUCAUCAAGAACGUUAGGACAACUAUUGUCGUCGUUGGAUCACUGCAGAGCUUUCUUAGAGGUUCUUUUAAAUCUGGAUGCAACUUAAGCUCCAUUUCCUUUAGUUGAUCAAUCCUUCUACCCUGAGCAUCCACUGGCUCUGUUAAUGUGGCAUUGAAACCCUAAAUUACAGAAAUUGCUGUCAGAACUAAGUAUUUCAUAUUAGGGGAACGGCAAAGUAGCUUAUCACCUGUCUGCAUCAUCAAUAUAUUCAAUAUUUUUGGAACUAUAACAAGAAGGAGCAACCAAAAGACAAAGUAAAUGAGAUAAAUAGCUUAGAGCAAACAAAAUAUAGUAAAAAUUGGACAUUUAGCUUGAGUACUGCUCUCUGAUAUAGUGCUCCACUUCCAACAGGCCCAGUAAACUAUCUAUAGAUUAACAAAGUGACAUUUGACAUCACCCUAAAGCAGUUCAUUUAUUCCACUUUCAAAUCAAAGGGAUAGUAGAGAUUAAGUGGAUGCACGGAAGGAAAAAUAACUUUUUUACCAAUAAAUAUCAUGACAAAAGCUGAUAGUACUUUCCAUUAUCGAGUGACAAAGGCCAGGGAAGCUAUUUUUGAAAGCAAAACUGUGACUUUCAGAAAACAGAAACAUGAGAACUACCUUGUACUCAGUUAAGUGACAUAGGAAGGUGAGACAUGGCAACAGAAAAAGAAAAUAUUAGCAUCCUAGAGUGCAAAAACUCUUCAAAUUCAUAAUCUUAUGAGACAGUAUUGUGUGUACCCUUACAGGAUCUACAGACCACAUUAUCUUUUUGAUAAAAAGGACAGCGCGGUGCACUAAAGCUAUCGCUAUGCGCGAUGUAAUUAAUAGGUAAAGACUAUUUUAGAAAAAAAAAAAAAAAAUUUAUUUGAAAUUAAAAUUUGAAAAUCACCCUAAUUUGCGUUUAUUUUUUAAAUUCACCCAACAUUUCGAGCUUAUAAGCCCAAUGGGUUGUUUGAGUCUAUUUUUGAAAUUCAGCCGACAUUUCGAGCUUAUAAGCCCAAUACGUUGACAACCCAAAUAGUUAGUUGAAAUUCGGAUCUCAGUCCGACCCGCCAAUUUGAAAGGACGAUAGAGCUUCUUCUUCUCCGGUCUAAUCCAUAACCACCACAUCUCUACGACGGCCAGAGGCUAUUUCCAAGGCUUGAACCCGUGACUCACUUGGCACAUGGUAGCAACUUUACCGCAAGGCUCCCCUUCACAUCAUCCUUUUGAUAUUACAAAUAUUUGAUGGGCAUAUAACAGCAUAACAAACAUUUGAUGGACAUAAUAACAGCAAAGUUUUAUCAAGAGACAUAUUUUGACAAAGGCCAGUUCAGCAUCUUAUGUUCAAAUAUGUCUCGGGCAAUAACAAGUAACGACAGACUCCAUUCCCAAUUUGUUGGGAUGCCAUAGUAGUAAGGAGAGAUAAGAUGAAUGUGUGCAGCAGUAAUGAACAAAUGACAGGAUAUAGAGACAUCAGUUUGUAGUUAAAAUAGCUAUCUGUUUAACCUUUUCAUUUCCUCCAUUGAAAUUUAUGAACUGAAAUCCGAACAAAUGGUGUAAAAAGGCAAAAGAAAUAACAUCCAAGCAAAGCGAGCCCUAGAAAUUGGCAUAGAAGUAGCUACAAUAGAUUCAGCAUGAGCUGCUGCCCGUAUAUGGAAAUACAUAAUGGCUAAACGCAUGGUUUUCGACCAUUUUCUAAUUAUAUAAGUUUCAUCUUUCGAUAGAAUGUAGAGUUUAGCAGCAGUAUCAUACUGCAUAAAUUUUCAGGUUACUGAGCCUUUUGAGUUGACACCAAGUACUAAGACCAUAAAUAAAAAUACACAUUAAGAUAAUUUAAUCACUUGUUGAAAUUACGAUUUUACAAAAGAAAAGGGCAGAUAUACAUUUUUUUAGUUUUGGACAAGGGAAAAAGGAUACCAAUAUAAGCAAUCGAUUAUUUGAUUGCAAGUAGCGGUCAAUAGCCUCUUCGGAGGGAAAUUGAGGUGGAAUAUGUCUAGUCCUCAGCUGAGCUUCAACAACUGUAUCAUUAAGUUCACUACAUAGAAAAAAAUAGUAGCAUCAGAUUGCACUAGAUUGAGCAAAAGUAGUUAAAAGAGUGUUUGAGCAAAUAGUUUGUCUGGUCAUCGCUUCUUGAUCUUGUUAUUGAUUUAGACUUCAAAAAAACAUGCGUUGAAAACAUAAUUUAGUAUAUAAAAGUGUGGUCUCUCUAAAAGGUUAAGCUUUUAGAUAAGAAGGUUUCUCACUUCAGCUGGUAUAGAGUAGACAGAGAUCCUAGCUUCAAGCACCAUCCAUUAUCAAAAAGAAGUUUUAUGUGCUUGGCUCAAAACAGAAAUCAAGCCCAAAGGUUAGGGGGCAUGUUGAAGACAUAAUUUAGUAAACAAUAGUAUGCUCCAGCAUAAACUUUUAGAUGAGAUGGUCACACACUUGAACAACAUGAAAAGUACAUAAUGUGGAACCUAAACAGGGAUCCCUUAUUAUUAAGAAUAUAAAGGUGAGGAGUCUAAACCAUAUGAGCUACUCUGACACAUUAAGGACAUACCUUACAAAUGUUUCAGCCCAUUCCUGGGAAGUGUGAGUAGUGACAUGCAAGAAGUUAUGUUGAUGUCGUUUUUCUCUUUCAUGUGCGGACAUUGUUAGAGCAUAACCAAUUGAAGAUGCAAGUUCAGUAAUGUUCCAUGGGUUUACCAAAAUAGCCCCAGCACCAAGAGACUGUGCGGCACCUGCAAACUGUAAUUAACAAAAUAUUACACAAGAAUGUGCCGCUCAAAUCAUUUGAAAAGCAUGUCUACAUGUUCAAAAACAAUCUGAUAAUUAGAAAAUAAUACUUAGAAGGAGAAAGAGUUUAUCUAAGGAAUAUUAUGCCACUUUCCUUCCUGAAUCAAAUUUGCAGGCAUUAUACGUUCCCUGAGAGAAGUCCGGUGCAGUACCAUAUGGAAUUAUGUUCAAAUGUACCCACUGAUGUACACUUAUGCUGUUUCUCUCUAUAUGGAAAAGACUGGAUGAAGUGACUACUUUUCCCUCUGAAAUCGAGACUCUACCUUUCUAUUUUAAAGAUUUGUAGAGGAUAUGAAAGCCGCCAUUUCUCCUUUAAAGAUUUGUUGCCUCUUUGAAAGAGCUGCUAUCAUAUUUACCGAUGAAGCCAUUUCUCUUUUAAAGAUUUGUAGAGGAUAUGGUAGCCAAGGAAGGUGGCUAUGAUGUCAAUAUUCCGUUAUAUCUUUCUCAUGUAAGAGAUGAAUAAGUCCAUUUAUUUAAUUCUAUAGUUCUACAUUCUUUGCUAACGCGGACAAAAUAUAUACCCAGACAACAUGAGGCAAGGCAGUGGAGAAAGUCAAAGAGAUCAGUAGAGAUUCAUCUUUGUUAAUUGCUCGAAGGUUGAAAUUACAGGUGCUUGAUCAGUGUAUUAAAGAGAACUGAAGAAAAAGCCGUGUAAGGAUCACCGAACUUUAGAAGGCUCUGCAGGGUGGUUCAGUUGAUUUCGCUCAAAAGUGCCUAGGGUCCAACUCACCUAGGAUGGAGUUUUACCCCGUCUGUUGUUUCUCUCAAGGUGACAAAGUGAAAGAUAAGUAUCAUAGCAAUUAACAGGAGUCAUAAAGAUAUUCUCAGCGGCCAUUUUGAAGUCAAAGUACACUGAGCCAUUGAGUGGACAAGAUUGAAUUUAUGGAAUCCGGACGCAGAGAAGAUAGAUGACUUUAGACCACAGAUACUUGAGAUUGAGACAAUCCUUUUUUUUUUUUUUUUAAAUUCAAAUGGAAGUACCAGAUGGCCCUGAUGUAGAAUUUACGUCGAAAGAACUAACAAACACAAAGCCAGAACUAGGAAAGGCCAUCGAGGAGCUAAGGGAAGAGGGGAAAAACAUUUUGCCUAAUUUUAUUGGAGAUUCUCCAUCUUUUAAACCUCGGAUGUGAGAAUUUAUCAUUGGCCCAUCCCUACAAUAUCUCUUUUUCCUUUAACUUCCUUCCUCUUUCUGUUGCAUCAACCAGUAACGGUAUUUCCAUUUUGGAUCAUUGCUUCGCCUUUAAGCUUUAGUUCAGCUAUCCCUUAUUUUCUAUUCCUUAAUUAUUCAAAAAAUCCAUCACGGAAGCUACUUAAGAGAAAACUGAUCUCAUAAUAGUUUCUGAGGCUUCCAAAACAUCCGGAAACUGUGAUGGUUAAAAUAUGAAAUAUGCAAGGAAAAGUUUCCUCAGUUAUUGGAACCAGUAUUUGAGAUGGACUUCGAAAUUUCUUGCAAGUUUGGAUGCAUCUGGGGUGAGAACUCAUGAAUUUUGGGAAGCACUAAGCCUUUAGACCAAAACAACGCUUCGAUAAGAAGGAGCAAGUUUCCUAUAUUAAACAACUUAUAUGACCAAACUACUAUACACUCCAUACCAUUUUCUAUGACCUGCCCCAACUUUUAAGCAGUUUAAGAGAAACAUUUGAAUGAGAAUUACUACAAGGGAGUUCAGUAUAUAAUAAAAUACUAACUGGAAGAUGUGAGAUGAUAUCGAGAUGUUGCAUCAAAUACAAAGUAACAUAUAAGGCAAACACAUUUAUAUAAGAACAUCUUCUUAAGAUGGAAUCAGGCACAAAAUCCAACCAUAUAAACCAUGUCAAGUUAUAUGAUGCACAAAGUUUUUAGGUCAAAGUGGAUUUCCCAGACUGCAAUUUAACAGCUUAAGCAUUCAUGCCGCUAAAGCAUAUGCACUUGGCCAUAAAUUUCAUCCACAUAGAUCAUUUAAUAGCUAAUUCGGGAUUAGUCAAACAUAAUAUUAAAAAACACACCUUUGCCUGAAAGUGCCCUAUGCAUAGAACAUAAUCAAUUGGUGUCUUCAGGACGUUAUUGUGCACUAUUUCUCCUAAUAUACGAUCUAUAGCUGCCCCCUGUACACAAACAAGCUGAUUAAGAGAAUAAUCAAUUUAACGCAAAAUGACAUUCUAGGAACACCAGAACAGACCUUAGUAACACCAACUGCUCGAACCUCAACAGAUCCACUACCAGGGACCACCUCUAGAGAAGCAUUUGAAAUUGCGCCUGUCCGCAGAUGUUGCAAGAGAUCUUUUGAUUGAAGUUUUCCAAACUCAACAUCUGCAUGCUUAGAACCCAAUAAUAGAAUUAGUAGUCUGAAACAACAGAUAAACAUAAGGGUAUUUAUUUGAUUAGAAAUGGACCUAAAUUGGGUAUGAAUUAAUGACCUGUAUAUUUAUAGUUCCAAACAAGUGAGGUCUCACGAAGCUCAAAAUGAGAACGGGGGGUCCUCUCCGUGAAAUACUCAAAUACAUGCUGAAACAAAAAAGAUAGAUUUUGAUUCUGAAAACUUCACAAACUUGAAACAAUUCAAGUUCAAAAGUACAGUGCUUCACCUUCACGCUGUCAACCCAAUCCAUACUUAGAUUUUCAGGCAUCGUAGUCAUCCAAUUCCCCUCUGUUUGUCGCAAAAACAUUCCAUGUUCAGCAGCCAACCACAUCCUAUAUUCUCCGAAAUUCUGUAGAAGAAGUCAGUCAAAGAACAUAAACGCUGAUAGAAAGACAUUAACUUAAGAAAGUAGGACACCUCAUCAAGAACGUUUCGGCCACUUGACAACUAUUGUCGUCUUUGGAUCACUGCAGAGCUUUCUUAGAGGUUCUUUUAAAUCUGGAUGCAACUUAAGCUCCAUUUCCUUUA
rnacentral:lncRNA from 1 species